rnacentral:rRNA from 1 species
UACGUAGGUGGCAAGCGUUAUCCGGAUUUACUGGGUGUAAAGGGCGUGUAGGCGGGACUGCAAGUCAGAUGUGAAAUUCCAGGGCUCAACCCUGGAACUGCAUUUGAAACUGUAGUUCUUGAGUGAUGGAGAGGCAGGCGGAAUUCCGUGUGUAGCGGUGAAAUGCAUAGAUAUCACGCAGAACGCCGAUUGCGAAGGCAGCAUACCGGCGCCCAACUGACGCUGAGGCACGAAAGCGUGGGUAUCGAACAGG